GAAAACUGGGCAAAGAUCUUGGCAUUCCCUAUUAAUGAAAUAGAUAAUAUACAUGAAUUUGUAGGAAUUUUUUUAUGAAUUAUGUAGUUUUUCAACUACUUAUUUGGGCUUCUCUAGGAACAAAACGCAAGGCUAUUGAGAUAUGAAACGGUGUGAUGAAUAGACGUGAAAAAGAAGAGUUGAUGUAUGACUCAUGUUGGAUGACAAUGUUAUAAACUAUUGUAAAACACUUUUAAGAUGUAUGACUCAUGUUGGAUGACACUGUUAUAAACUGUUGUAAAACACUUUUAAGAUUAUAUAAUUAUAUUUACUUCUCACAAAUAUAUAUCAGAUAAAAAUGAUCUUUUGCU
rnacentral:lncRNA from 1 species